GCUGGGUGUGGUGGUGCAUGCCUGUAAUCCCAGCUACUUGGGAGGCUGAGGCAGGAGAAUCGCUUGAACCCAGGAGGUGGAGGUUGCGGUGAGCCGAGAUCAUGCCAUUGCACUCCACCCUGGAUGAGAGAGUGAGACUCUGUCUCAA
rnacentral:sRNA from 1 species